ACUUCGGUGGUCUAGUGGUUAGAGCAUUCGACUCAGAUGCGGGCGGUCUCGGGUUCUAACCCCAGCUGAGCUA